CACAAUCCAACGCUAAUACAUUACUAUCCCUCUUUAUUCACCUUAUAUCUUUCAUUACCCAUAUUUAUAGGAUAAACCCAAUAUUUAUAGACAACUCACACUAAACUCUCGGGCUAACAAUCAAACACUCUAUUAUAGCAUUAAGGAAUAAUAAAUAGUCAUUUGGAUAGACUUUAAUUACAACAAGUAUAAAUGAAGUAAGUUGACCAACAUACAGAAAGUAAACACUGAGUUUC
rnacentral:lncRNA from 1 species